UUAUAUAAUUGCAACAAAUCUUAUACAAAGUGUGACGCAUGGCUAGAAAGGGUUAAGCAGCUUGCAGGCUAAAUGACCCAGAGCCAACCUUUAGACACAUGUUAGAAAAGUAUGCAAAUGGUCAUUAGGGCCAUUCCAUGGUAGAAAGGCUAGAAUCUUUGAAAUGCAAACCUGCAUUGUUAGAAGUUAGAGGUGAUACUAAUUGUAUGUGUGUACUCCUGUCUUGUUAGAGGAUAACAAUGUAGUCAAACAGUCCCUGUCUAUGCUGUGUUCUGUUAAUUCAAAGAUCAAAGGAAAUAUUAACAUAUAAAUGAACUAUAAACAUAGUAUAUGGCUGUAUUCAUCUCCUUUGAAAUGUUUAGCAAAUCAACAGAGAAUGGUGGAAAACGGGCAAUUGCCGUAUGUUAAUUUGUGUAGCUAAUUACCGACGAUGCUUAGGAAAUAGGUCUACUUCAAAGUCUCCAUGAUUGUCUAUUAUUCACCUAAGGCCUCUGACCUGUCAAGAGAAGGCCUGGAACUGUAUAAAAACCUCUUGGGUCCGGAUCCUUUUAAUCUCAGAUCUGCUGGAUGCUUCAUGCAUGGGAAACUUAAGCUGUAAGGCUGAGAGCUCCAGUCCUAACUGGAUCCCCUGGAUAUGAACAUUGGACUAUAACCUAUGGACUAAUUCUGAAAGAAUUCUUUGCAACUACGAAAAUCAACAUCUCUACUAUGAAUCUGAUCUCAGAACUGUACUCAUGUCUGGAUGGGCAGGCCAUUUUCAACAGUGCUUGAGCCUGGUGAAGAGACCCUCUCUUUGCUUCAUUUUCUCCUCCUGCCCUUUUGUGUGUCUCAUCUGCCUGCUCUACCACUGCUCUGUGAGGAGCUCUUUCCACUGCCAACCCACCAUGCCCUGGCUGCCUGCAACAGACUGUAUGGGCUCUCCAAGGCCUUAGCUCCAACGCUCUCAUACACCAUCCCGAUGUCCAACCUCUGUUGGUGGUCUCACUGGGGCUGAGGACCUGGCCUUAUGUGCCUGCAGAGACGAGCCUCACCCUGAUGACUAUGAACAAUGCAAGCCAGAUUAAUGCUAUCGCACAGGAAUAUGUGCAGCUCAGUCCAUGGUACAUAUAUACUCCUGGCCCCGCUGAAUCCUGGUGGGGCAUGUUGCAAUUGCUGGACCUACAAAGUUACCCUCAGCUCAACUGUAACAAGUAUGUGAAAAUGCAUAAGCUGUUACAAUAACCAUGAAAAAUAGGCCAAGUUGUUUAUGAAGAUGAAUGUUAGAAGAGGUGUGAGAAACCCAGACAGAGAAACUGUAUUAGUCCAAACAACCAGGGUCUCCUGAUAUAAUUCAAGGACUGUGUGAGAUCAGACUUGGUAAACAGAACAUGUGACAACAAAGUUACCUACGCCAAGUCUGGCCAUAAAUGGAUUUCACUGGUGGACAACCUAAAGGGGGUAAAAGAUACCACCUGCUCGUCCUCCGUUGUGAGGUUCUUAAAAAGAGACUUAGAAAAGAAGAAUAUUCCCCCAAUCAUCCUGUGACCUACCCACACUGCAGCUUGUCUCAGCUCCUCUCCUCUCCGCUUCCUCCACCUCCAGUGGGCAGGAGCAGGCCAGGAGAAGGACUUUCCUCCUGAGAGCCUGCUGGCCGGCCUGCCCUUGUUUAAGGAACCUGGUUUGUUACUUGUGAGUUUAGAAAAUCAUCACAUCACCAUGAUGUCCAGUCCUCAGCCCAUUGGUGUGGAAACCUCAUUUCCCACACCACAGAGGCAGGUAAGAGCCUGCACUGUUUUCCCUUCCCUUGCAUUGCUUUCUGCCCUCCCUCAUCUCCUAGCCUUUCCCUCUGCUUUUCAUUGGCUCCUGAAAUCAGACGUACUGCAUUCGUCCACGCCUGCCUCGUCUAAGGAGAACGAAUCCAACCAGAUGACACUCCUGCCCAGAGCAUGCUCCAGGGUCCAAACGGCAGGUGCCUUGCUUGGCCUGCUAGCCAAAGCCAGAGCACCCAUUUGUGACUAGCCAGCCUGCCAGUGUUGCAAAGCUGUAUUUCCCCCACCUUUUCCACCCUCUCUCUUCUCCACAUGGCCUCCAUCUGUCUGUUAGAAACAGGAGAAGUGAAUAUCCUUCGCACAUCAGGAUUAACCCAUCCUUAGGCUUUUCAUCAAAGAAAGGUUGUUCUGAAAAAGACUGAUAUUUUGCCUAAAAAAGGAGAGAGACUUGAAAGGUUUUGAUUGUUUGUUUUGCACAAUCUCUCAGUUUCAGUAUCAGUAUCAAUGCUUGCUUUAAUUUCUUUUUCUUUCUUGUGUUUGAUCAAUAAACUUUCAGUUUUAGAAUGAAA